rnacentral:rRNA from 1 species
AAACUAAUUUGAUUUGGCGGCACUUUACCUAUUUAGAGGAAUUUGUCCUUUAAUCGAUAAUCCGCGCUAAAUUUUACUUUAAAAAAAAAUUUAUAUAUCGCCAUCUUAAGAAUAAAUCUAAAAAUAUUUUCCAAAAAAAAAAUAAAAAGUUAGGUCAAGGUGUAAUUUACAUUAAAGAAUGAGAUGAAUUACAUUAAAAAUUAUUUAAAGAUUAUAUAUAAAUAUAUUUAUACAAAUAAGAAUUUAAAAGCAAUAUUAAAACAAUAUUACAAUAUGACAUAGAUAAUAAAUGUGCACACAUCGCCC